CGGUAUUCAAGUGCUAAUAAUA
rnacentral:miRNA from 1 species